rnacentral:tRNA from 1 species
CAGGUUGUAGUUUAACAUAAAACAUAGAUUUUGGGUAUCUAAAAUUAAGAAAUAUUUUAUUACCUGA